rnacentral:rRNA from 1 species
CGCGGCCUAUCAGCUUGUUGGUGGGGUAAUGGCCUACCAAGGCGACGACGGGUAGCCGGCCUGAGAGGGCGACCGGCCACACUGGGACUGAGACACGGCCCAGACUCCUACGGGAGGCAGCAGUGGGGAAUAUUGCACAAUGGGCGGAAGCCUGAUGCAGCGACGCCGCGUGAGGGAUGACGGCCUUCGGGUUGUAAACCUCUUUCACCCAUGACGAAGCGCAAGUGACGGUAGUGGGAGAAGAAGCGCCGGCCAACUACGUGCCAGCAGCCGCGGUAAGACGUAGGGCGCGAGCGUUGUCCGGAAUUAUUGGGCGUAAAGAGCUCGUAGGCGGCUUGUCGCGUCGGCUGUGAAAUCCCGUGGCUCAACUGCGGGUCUGCAGCCGAUACGGGCAGGCUAGAGUUCGGUAGGGGAGACUGGAAUUCCUGGUGUAGCGGUGAAAUGCGCAGAUAUCAGGAGGAACACCGAUGGCGAAGGCAGGUCUCUGGGCCGAUACUGACGCUGAGGAGCGAAGGCGUGGGGAGCGAACAGGAUUAGAUACCCUGGUAGUCCACGCUGUAAACGUUGGGCGCUAGGUGUGGGGGACCUCUCCGGUUCUCUGUGCCGCAGCUAACGCAUUAAGCGCCCCGCCUGGGGAGUACGGC